rnacentral:rRNA from 1 species
CAGCACCUCAAGUGGUCAGGAUGAUUAUUGGGCCUAAAGCAUCCGUAGCCGGCUCUGUAAGUUUUCGGUUAAAUCUGUAUGCUCAACAUACAGGCCGCCGGGAAUACUGCAGAGCUAGGGAGUGGGAGAGGUAGACGGUACUCGGUAGGAAGGGGUAAAAUCCUUUGAUCUAUUGAUGACCACCUGUGGCGAAGGCGGUCUACCAGAACACGUCCGACGGUGAGGGAUGAAAGCUGGGGGAGCAAACCGGAUUAGAGACCCGAGUAGUCC